AUUGAACGCUGGCGGCAGGCCUAACACAUGCAAGUCGAGCGAGCGGCGGACGGGUGAGUAAUGUAUGGGGACUGCCCGAUAGAGGGGGAUAAAUACUGGCAACGGUGGCUAAUACCGCAUACUAUCGGAUAACCCAUAUUGGAUUAGCUAGUAGGUGGGGUAAAGGCUCACCUAGGCGACGAUCACUAGCUGGUCUGAGAGGAUGAUCAGCCACACUGGGACUGAGACACGGCCCAGACUCCUACGGAGGCAGCAGUGGGGAAUAUUGCGCAAUGGGCGCAAGCCUGAUAGAGCCAUGCCGCGUGUAUGAAGAAGGCCUUAGGGUUGUAAAGUUCUUUCAGCCGGGAGGCGUUACCCGCAGAAGAAGCACCGGCUAACUCCGUGCCAGCAGCCGCGGUAAUAC
rnacentral:rRNA from 1 species